GAUGAACGCUAGCGGCAGGCUUAAUACAUGCAAGUCGUGGGGCAGCAUGACUGUAGCAAUACAAUUGUUGACGACCGGCAAACGGGUGCGGAACACGUACACAACCUUCCUACAAGUGGGGAAUAGCCCAGAGAAAUUUGGAUUAAUACCCCGUAACAUAGCGAUGUGGCAUCACAUUGCUAUUAUAGCUUCGGCGCUUGUUGCUGGGUGUGCGGCUGAUUAGAUAGUUGGCGGGGUAACGGCCCACCAAGUCUACGAUCAGUAGCUGAUGUGAGAGCAUGAUCAGCCACACGGGCACUGAGACACGGGCCCGACUCCUACGGGAGGCAGCAGUAAGGAAUAUUGGACAAUGGACGCAAGUCUGAUCCAGCCAUGCCGCGUGAAGGAUUAAGGUCCUCUGGAUUGUAAACUUCUUUUAUAAGGGACGAAAAAAGGUCUUUCUAGAUCGUCUGACGGUACCUUAUGAAUAAGCACCGGCUAACUCCGUGCCAGCCGCCGCGGUAACAC
rnacentral:rRNA from 1 species